UUUUUGGUGUAUAUAAAGACAGUCUAUUUCACUCCAAAGUCAGUAAAAAGUAGAAGUGUACAUUGUAAACAUAAAGUUUUAUUCUGCUGAUUCAGGAAAAACAACAACGGUGCAAAAUGUCCAAAUUUAUAGUCCCAACUAUGUUGGCAUUCAUGGUUCUGUUCUGUGGAUGCUUUUUCGAGUCAGUUCAUGGAACUGGUCAGGUCUCUCAAUGCUUGACACCAACGGCUCUCGGAAACAUCAACAACGUUCCUUCCAAUAGACAGACAAGUAAAUGCAGUACUGGACUCUAUUGUCACAAAUGGUACAGUAAUACUGUUUGCGAAACUAACGAUGCAGACCGUGCCAAUGAAUUCAAAGCUUGUUGUGAAUCAGCUCGAUAUGCAUACAAUACAUUCUAUGUCAAUUAGGGAAAUUUCUAUUUUUUUACUGGAGCUGUCUAAGAGUUGUUUCUUUCAUUCUUCUUAUUUUGAUCAAAAAUCCUUUCUAAAUUUUUCUUAAAUAAAUAAAAAUGAAUAUUACUUUGACUAUCA